rnacentral:rRNA from 1 species
GGGUUGUGAGGUUAAGCGACUAAGCGUACACGGUGGAUGCCCUGGCAGUCAGAGGCGAUGAAGGACGUGCUAAUCUGCGAUAAGCGUCGGUAAGGUGAUAUGAACCGUUAUAACCGGCGAUUUCCGAAUGGGGAAACCCAGUGUGUUUCGACACACUAUCAUUAACUGAAUCCAUAGGUUAAUGAGGCGAACCGGGGGAACUGAAACAUCUAAGUACCCCGAGGAAAAGAAAUCAACCGAGAUUCCCCCAGUAGCGGCGAGCGAACGGGGAGCAGCCCAGAGCCUGAAUCAGUGUGUGUGUUAGUGGAAGCGUCUGGAAAGGCGCGCGAUACAGGGUGACAGCCCCGUACACAAAAAUGCACAUACUGUGAGCUCGAUGAGUAGGGCGGGACACGUGGUAUCCUGUCUGAAUAUGGGGGGACCAUCCUCCAAGGCUAAAUACUCCUGACUGACCGAUAGUGAACCAGUACCGUGAGGGAAAGGCGAAAAGAACCCCGGCGAGGGGAGUGAAAAAGAACCUGAAACCGUGUACGUACAAGCAGUGGGAGCACGCUUCGGCGUGUGACUGCGUACCUUUUGUAUAAUGGGUCAGCGACUUAUAUUCUGUAGCAAGGUUAACCGAAUAGGGGAGCCGAAGGGAAACCGAGUCUUAACUGGGCGUUAAGUUGCAGGGUAUAGACCCGAAACCCGGUGAUCUAGCCAUGGGCAGGUUGAAGGUUGGGUAACACUAACUGGAGGACCGAACCGACUAAUGUUGAAAAAUUAGCGGAUGACUUGUGGCUGGGGGUGAAAGGCCAAUCAAACCGGGAGAUAGCUGGUUCUCCCCGAAAGCUAUUUAGGUAGCGCCUCGUGAAUUCAUCUCCGGGGGUAGAGCACUGUUUCGGCAAGGGGGUCAUCCCGACUUACCAACCCGAUGCAAACUGCGAAUACCGGAGAAUGUUAUCACGGGAGACACACGGCGGGUGCUAACGUCCGUCGUGAAGAGGGAAACAACCCAGACCGCCAGCUAAGGUCCCAAAGUCAUGGUUAAGUGGGAAACGAUGUGGGAAGGCCCAGACAGCCAGGAUGUUGGCUUAGAAGCAGCCAUCAUUUAAAGAAAGCGUAAUAGCUCACUGGUCGAGUCGGCCUGCGCGGAAGAUGUAACGGGGCUAAACCAUGCACCGAAGCUGCGGCAGCGACACUAUGUGUUGUUGGGUAGGGGAGCGUUCUGUAAGCCUGUGAAGGUGUGCUGUGAGGCAUGCUGGAGGUAUCAGAAGUGCGAAUGCUGACAUAAGUAACGAUAAAGCGGGUGAAAAGCCCGCUCGCCGGAAGACCAAGGGUUCCUGUCCAACGUUAAUCGGGGCAGGGUGAGUCGACCCCUAAGGCGAGGCCGAAAGGCGUAGUCGAUGGGAAACAGGUUAAUAUUCCUGUACUUGGUGUUACUGCGAAGGGGGGACGGAGAAGGCUAUGUUGGCCGGGCGACGGUUGUCCCGGUUUAAGCGUGUAGGCUGGUUUUCCAGGCAAAUCCGGAAAAUCAAGGCUGAGGCGUGAUGACGAGGCACUACGGUGCUGAAGCAACAAAUGCCCUGCUUCCAGGAAAAGCCUCUAAGCAUCAGGUAACAUUAAAUCGUACCCCAAACCGACACAGGUGGUCAGGUAGAGAAUACCAAGGCGCUUGAGAGAACUCGGGUGAAGGAACUAGGCAAAAUGGUGCCGUAACUUCGGGAGAAGGCACGCUGAUAUGUAGGUGAAGUCCCUCGCGGAUGGAGCUGAAAUCAGUCGAAGAUACCAGCUGGCUGCAACUGUUUAUUAAAAACACAGCACUGUGCAAACACGAAAGUGGACGUAUACGGUGUGACGCCUGCCCGGUGCCGGAAGGUUAAUUGAUGGGGUUAGCGGUAACGCGAAGCUCUUGAUCGAAGCCCCGGUAAACGGCGGCCGUAACUAUAACGGUCCUAAGGUAGCGAAAUUCCUUGUCGGGUAAGUUCCGACCUGCACGAAUGGCGUAAUGAUGGCCAGGCUGUCUCCACCCGAGACUCAGUGAAAUUGAACUCGCUGUGAAGAUGCAGUGUACCCGCGGCAAGACGGAAAGACCCCGUGAACCUUUACUAUAGCUUGACACUGAACAUUGAGCCUUGAUGUGUAGGAUAGGUGGGAGGCUUUGAAGUGUGGACGCCAGUCUGCAUGGAGCCGACCUUGAAAUACCACCCUUUAAUGUUU